rnacentral:rRNA from 1 species
AUGGCGCCGCCACCGCCGCUCUGGAAAAACCAAAGUGGGGUUUCCCUCGGGCUCGUCCCGCAGCACCAGUUCGAGGAGCACCCUGCCGGCACCGGAUCCGGCGGCCAGAAGCCCCAAAUCGGCGAACCAGCCAAGGGAGAGAGUAGAGAGGUGAUGCCUGACCUUCAAAUAUGGAGCGGAGGAAGGAUACCUCACCGCCUCGCGACCGCUACCGGCCUGCUCCUCGCUGCCCAAGCAGCCGAAGAAGCCGGUCCGCACCUCCCGCGCACACGCCGACGGCCGAAGAGACGGCGCCGCCUCGCCGACCAGGGCCGCCACCCUGGAUUCCGGGGUCCUUCGCAAGAGUGA